CGAAGGUGCUACAAAUGGCAGGAAGGGCCAGCUCUCCAUGCUCCUGCUACCAGGAGAGCAACUAUAUUGGAUAAACAGAUUGAAAUCGAAAUGUGAAAAUCAUGGGCAUUGCAGCUUUAAAAAGAAGACAUUUGUUGCACAGUCAAACACUGGAAACCAUGGAGACUAACAGACUGAAGUGACUUGAAAAGCCCAGUGGGAGCUUGACAGUGACAAAUGAAUCAUUAACAAUACCUACAAUAACCGAAAAAGAGUCAGUAGAUCCAUAUGGGAGCUAGACACAGCAUGCCUCAUCAGCCUCUCAACAAUUUCCCCACAACUGAUGUCCAGAUAUUCUCUGACAGCCAUUUUUCAUGUCUGUCCCCUUUUAGUUGCCUCACUGCACUUCCUCCUUCAGCCAGAAAGCCAGGAUGGUUGUAAGCGUGACUUUCUCCACAGCUGCCAUCAAUAAAGCUUUUUAAUUGACCAACAAGAAAUACACUCUUAAGGUCAGUAGCAGAAAUGGGCAGUUUUUCUUUCUGGUUGACAUCUGUGCAGCGGCUGUUGCUGCUGAGUGACCCAUCCAAUGGCCUUGAUGAAAGUUAUGAAACUCACUAAAACAGGGUUAUUGACUCUGAGUAUCAGUUUAAUUUGGGAAUUGAACUUUAGCCUUCUGGAAGGGAAUCUAACGCUUUGCCAUUGGACCAACUAAUAGUUUGGUAAAUGGAGUCCUGAUAAAACAAAUAUAGUCUGGAAAUGAAAUGUACAAUAGCAACGAAUAGGCAGAAGUUACAGCAAAUAUUUAUUCUGGGUUAAGGAUUUCUAGCUUGCUCCCUUUGCAAUUAAAACUUUAAUUUCUGAGAUUUUUAGUUUCAUGGUAAAACGGCUACUGGAGCUGAGAUUUCAUUUAACUUAAUUUUAUGACUACCAGAAGGUUGUUUUACUGGUAUGAUUAUUUAUUAUUUCUGAAUAUCUCCUGAUCAGCAGAAUAAAAACAUUUCUUGGUUGUUGA